AUGUCGGCAGCCAAGGAGAACCCGUGCAGGAAAUUCCAGGCCAACAUCUUCAACAAGAGCAAGUGUCAGAACUGCUUCAAGCCCCGCGAGUCGCAUCUGCUUAACGACGAGGACCUGACGCAGGCAAAGCCCAUUUAUGGUGGUUGGCUGCUCCUGGCUCCAAAUGGGACUGACUUUGACAACCCGGUGCACCGGUCUCGGAAAUGGCAGCGACGGUUCUUCAUCCUUUAGGAGCAUGGCCUCUUGCUAUAUGCCCUGGAUGAGAUGCCAACGACUCUGCCUCAGGGCACCAUCAACAUGAACCAGUGCACAGACGUGGUGGAUGGGGAGGGCCGCACGGGCCAGAAGUUCUCCCUGUGUAUUCUGACGCCUGAGAAGGAGCAUUUCAUCCGGGCAGAGACCAAGGAGAUUGUCAGUGGGUGGCUGGAGAUGCUCAUGGUCUAUCCCCGGACCAACAAGCAGAACCAGAAGAAGAAAGGGAAAGUGGAGCCCCCCACACCACAGGAGCCUGGGCCUGCCAAGGUGGCUGUCACCAGCAGCAGCAGCAGCAACAGCAGCAGCAGCAGCAUCCCCAGUGCUGAGAAAGUCCCCACCACCAAGUCCACACUCUGGCAGGAAGAAAUGAGGGCUAAGGACCAGCCAGAUGGCAGCAGCCUGAGUCCAGCUCAGAGUCCCAGCCAGAGCCAGCCUACUGCUGCCAGCUCCCUGCGGGAACCUGGGCUGGAGAGCAAAGAAGAGGAGAGCGCCAUGAGUAGCGACCGCAUGGACUGUGGCUGCAAAGUCCGGGUGGAGAGCGGCUACUUCUUCCUGGAGAAGACCAAACAGGACUUGAAGGCCGAGGAGCAGCAGCUGCCCCCGCCACUCUCCCCUCCCAGCCCCAGCACCCCCAACCACAGGAGGUCCCAGGUGAUUGAAAAGUUUGAGGCCUUGGACAUUGAGAAGGCAGAGCACAUGGAGACCAAUGCAGUGGGGCCCUCGCCAUCCAGCGACACACGCCAGGGCCGCAGCGAGAAGAGGGCGUUCCCUAGGAAGCGGCCCGACCUGCUGAAUUUCAAGAAAGGCUGGCUGACUAAGCAGUAUGAGGACGGCCAGUGGAAGAAACACUGGUUUGUCCUGGCCGAUCAAAGCCUGAGAUACUACAGGGAUUCGGUGGCUGAGGAGGCAGCCGACUUGGAUGGGGAAAUUGACUUGUCUACAUGUUAGGAUGUCACAGAGUAUCCAGUUCAGAGAAACUAUGGCUUCCAGAUCCAUACAAAGGAGGGCGAGUUUACCCUGUCGGCCAUGACCUCCGGGAUUCGGAGGAACUGGGUCCAGACCAUCAUGAAACAGGUGCACCCGACCACUGCCCCGGAUGUGACAAGCUCAUUGCCAGAGGAAAAAAACAAGAGCAGCUCCUCUUUUGAGACAUGCCCGAGGCCUACUGAGAAGCAAGAGGCAGAGCUGGGGGAGCCGGACCCUGAGCAGAAGAGGAGCCGCGCACGGGAGCGGAGGCGAGAGGGCCGCUCCAAGACCUUUGACUGGGCUGAGUUCCGUCCCAUCCAGCAGGCCCUGGCUCAGGAGCGGGUGGGUGGCGCAGGGCCCACUGACACCCAUGAGCCCUUGCGCCCUGAGGCAGAGCCUGGGGAGCUGGAGUGGGAGCGUGCACGGAGGCAGGAGGAGCGCGGCAAGCGCUUCGGGAUGCCCCACGCCACAGACGGGCCAGGCACUGAGGAUGCAGCCCUGCGCACGGAGGUGGACCAGAGCCCAGGGCUGCCUGUGAGUGACCUCAAGACGCAUAACGUCCAUGUGGAGAUCGAGCAGCAGUGGCAUCAGGUGGAGACCACGCCUCUCCGGGAAGAGAAGCAGGUGCCCAUCGCUCCUGUCCACCUGUCUUCUGAAGAUAGGGGUGACCGGCUCUCCACACACGAGCUGACCUCUCUGCUGGAGAAGGAGCUGGAGCAGAGCCAGAAGGAGGCCUCAGACCUUCUGGAGCAGAACCGGCUCCUGCAGGACCAGCUGAGGGUGGCCCUGGGCCGGGAGCAGAGCGCCCGUUAGGGCUAUGUGCUGCAGGCCACCUGCGAGCGAGGGUUUGCAGCAAUGGAAGAAACGCACCAGAAGAAGAUUGAAGAUCUGCAGAGGCAGCACCAGCGGGAGCUAGAGAAACUUCGGGAGGAGAAAGACCGCCUCCUGGCCGAGGAGACAGCGGCCACCAUCUCAGCCAUCGAAACCAUGAAGAAUGCCCACCGGGAGGAGAUGGAGCGGGAGCUGGAGAAGAGCCAGCGGUCCCAGAUCAGCAGUGUCAACUCGGACGUUGAGGCCCUGCCCGGCGCCAGUACCUGGAGGAGCUGCAGUCGGUGCAGCGGGAACUGGAGGUCCUCUCGAAGCAGUACUCCCAGAAGUGCCUGGAGAAUGCCCACCUGGCCCAGGCGCUGGAGGCCGAGCGGCAGGCCCUGCGGCAGUGCCAGCGUGAGAACCAGGAGCUCAAUGCCCACAACCAGGAGCUGAACAACCGCCUGGCUGCAGAGAUCACACGGUUACGGACGCUGCUGACUGGGGACGGCAGUGGGGAGGCCACUAGGUCACCCCUUGCACAGGGCAAGGAUGCCUAUGAACUAGAGGUCUUAUUGUGGGUAAAGGAAUCAGAAAUACAGUACCUGAAACAGGAAAUUAGCUCCCUCAAGGAUGAGCUGCAGACGGCACUGCAGGAAGUAUGCAAGUGACAAGUACAAAGACAUCUACACAGAGCUCAGCAUCGCGAAGGCUAAAGCUGACUGUGACAUCAGCAGGUUGAAGGAGCAGCUCAAGGCUGCAACAGAAGCGCUGGGGGAAAAGUCCCCUGACAGUGCCACGGUGUCCAGAUACGAUAUAAUGAAAUCUAAAAGCAACCCUGACUUCUUGAAGAAAGACAGAUCCUGUGUCACCCGGCAACUCAGAAACAUCAGGUCCAAGAGUCUGAAGGAAGGCCUGACGGUGCAAGAACGGUUGAAGCUCUUUGAAUCCAGGGACUUGAAGAAAGACUAGCUGUGUCCCAUCCAAGUUGAGCACGCACCUUCCCCAGCUUGCAGCAGCACACCCCAAGCGCUGCUUUUCACCUGUACCUUUGUUUUAUUAUUAUUAUUGCUGCUGUUGUCAUCGUUAACUGUGGGCAUGGAACGUGUGAGGCUGGCUUCUGGGUUGUCCACACCACUCUCUGCUGUGUUGACUUCCUAUUGUCUUCAUCAAAGCUCUUUUCCGUGGUAUUCUAAAAUUAGGCCAGCAGUGGGGACUGGGAGGGCAUCUGUGUUAGUCCCUUCCUGGCUGUGACCCGCUGCACUCACUGUCAGUAUUAAGGCCCAGCAGCCUGUUGAUAAGCUACCCUGUCUCACCACGCGCUGGUGUGGAAACAGGGCCCAGCCAGCAUGCCUCAAGGUAGAUGGAAUCCCCACUGGUCAGAGAAAAAGCCAUGCGGACACUCCAGCUUUUGGCCUGGGUAAUAGCACUGACUCCUCACCUGCUAGUCUGGCUGUUAAGAGGAGAAGGUGCGCUGCCUUCCGGCCUGGGAGGAAGACAGCAUUUUGUAUCUGUUCCACUGAUGCCGCUUAAAACCACACCCCUGAGAAUCGUGGCAAACCUUUCACAACCUGGAAAAUGUUCAAAGCAACCAUUCCUAUUUUUGUUUGUUUUUUAUUAAAUAUUGCACUAAAAAAAAAAAAAAAAAAA